UGCAAGUCGAACGAAGUAGCUAUACUUAGUGGCAGACGGGUGAGUAACAUGUGGGUAUCUGCCCUUUGGCCUGGAAUAACACGAGGAAACUUGUGCUAAUACCGGAUAAGUCUUUACGGAGAAAGCUUUAUGCACCAUUGGAUGAGCCCGCACUUGAUUAGUUUGUUGGUGGGGUAAUGGCCUACCAAGACUUUGAUCAAUAGCUGAUUUGAGAGGAUGAUCAGCCACAUUGGGACUGAGACACGGCCCAAACUCCUACGGGAGGCAGCAGUGGGGAAUCUUGCACAAUGGAGGAAACUCUGAUGCAGCGAUGCCGCGUGAGUGAAGAAGGCCCUUGGGUUGUAAAGCUCUUUCGUCGGGGAAGAAAAUGACUGUACCCGAAUAAGAAGGUCCGGCUAACUUCGUGCCAGCAGCCGCGGUAAUACGAAGGGACCUAGCGUAGUUCGGAAUUACUGGGCUUAAAGAGUUCGUAGGUGGUUGAAAAAGUUGGUGGUGAAAUCCCAGAGCUUAACUCUGGAACUGCCAUCAAAACUUUUCAGCUAGAGUUUGAUAGAGGAAAGCAGAAUUUCUAGUGUAGAGGUGAGAUUCGUAAAUAUUAGAAAGAAUACCAAUUGCGAAGGCAGCUUUCUGGAUCAUUACUGACGCUGAGGAACGAAAGCAUGGGUAGCGAAGAGGAUUAGAUACCCUCGUAGUCCAUGCCGUAAACGAUGUGUGUUAGACGUUGGAAAUUUAUUUUCAGUGUCGCAGCGAAAGCGAUAAACACACCGCCUGGGGAGUACGACCGCAAGGUUAAAACUCAAAUGAAUUGACGGGGACCCG
rnacentral:rRNA from 1 species